GAUGAGAACGUAGCGAAAUGCGAUACGUAAUGUGAAUUGCAGAAUUCAGUGAAUCAUCGAAUCUUUGAACGCAUAUUGCGCUCUCUGGUAUUCCGGAGAGCAUGCUUGUUUGAGUAUCAGUAAACACCUCAACUCUUUUUUCUUUUUUGAAAUUGGAGCUGGACUUGAGUGAUCCCAACGCUUUCUUCCAAGAAAGUGGCGGGUUGCUUGAAAUGCAGGUGCAGCUGAACUUUUCUCUGAGCUAUAAGCAUAUCUAUUUAGUCUGCCUAAAAAACAGAUUAUUACCUUUGCUGCAGCUAACAUAAAGGAGACUAGUUCUUGUGCUGACUGAUGCAGGAUUCACAGAGACAGCUUCGGCUGACUUUGUAAACUCGAUCUCAAAUCAAGUAAGACUACCCGCUGAACUUAAGCAUAUCAAUAAGCGGAGGA
rnacentral:misc_RNA from 1 species